rnacentral:rRNA from 1 species
GAUUCGUCACACUAUCAUUAACUGAAUCCAUAGGUUAAUGAGGCGAACCGGGGGAACUGAAACAUCUAAGUACCCCGAGGAAAAGAAAUCAACCGAGAUUCCCCCAGUAGCGGCGAGCGAACGGGGAGGAGCCCAGAGCCUGAAUCAGCAUGUGUGUUAGUGGAAGCGUCUGGAAAGGCGCGCGAUACAGGGUGACAGCCCCGUACACAAAAGCGCAUGUGCUGUGAGCUCGAUGAGUAGGGCGGGACACGUGGUAUCCUGUCUGAAUAUGGGGGGACCAUCCUCCAAGGCUAAAUACUCCUGACUGACCGAUAGUGAACCAGUACCGUGAGGGAAAGGCGAAAAGAACCCCGGCGAGGGGAGUGAAAAAGAACCUGAAACCGUGUACGUACAAGCAGUGGGAGCACAGGUUUACCUGUGUGACUGCGUACCUUUUGUAUAAUGGGUCAGCGACUUAUAUUCUGUAGCAAGGUUAACCGAAUAGGGGAGCCGGAGGGAAACCGAGUCUUAAUUGGGCGUUAAGUUGCAGGGUAUAGACCCGAAACCCGGUGAUCUAGCCAUGGGCAGGUUGAAGGUUGGGUAACACUAACUGGAGGACCGAACCGACUAAUGUUGAAAAAUUAGCGGAUGACCUGUGGCUGGGGGUGAAAGGCCAAUCAAACCGGGAGAUAGCUGGUUCUCCCCGAAAGCUAUUUAGGUAGCGCCUCGUGAAUUCAUCUCCGGGGGUAGAGCACUGUUUCGGCUAGGGGGCCAUCCCGGCUUACCAACCCGAUGCAAACUGCGAAUACCGGAGAAUGUUAUCACGGGAGACACACGGCGGGUGCUAACGUCCGUCGUGAAGAGGGAAACAACCCAGACCGCCAGCUAAGGUCCCAAAGUCAUGGUUAAGUGGGAAACGAUGUGGGAAGGCCCAGACAGCCAGGAUGUUGGCUUAGAAGCAGCCAUCAUUUAAAGAAAGCGUAAUAGCUCACUGGUCGAGUCGGCCUGCGCGGAAGAUGUAACGGGGCUAAACCAUGCACCGAAGCUGCGGCAGCGAACGUAUCACCCAAGACAACUUUACGGAGUUGACGAUUGACGGAGCGAAGCGACGUCAAAGCGUUCAUUAAAGUCGAGUUGGCUUAGGGAUACGUUCGUUGGGUAGGGGAGCGUUCUGUAAGCCUGUGAAGGUGUGUCGUGAGGCAUGCUGGAGGUAUCAGAAGUGCGAAUGCUGACAUAAGUAACGAUAAAGCGGGUGAAAAGCCCGCUCGCCGGAAGACCAAGGGUUCCUGUCCAACGUUAAUCGGGGCAGGGUGAGUCGACCCCUAAGGCGAGGCCGAAAGGCGUAGUCGAUGGGAAACGGGUUAAUAUUCCCGUACUUGGUGUUACUGCGAAGGGGGGACGGAGAAGGCUAUGUUGGCCGGGCGACGGUUGUCCCGGUUUAAGCGUGUAGGUGUGUGUUCCAGGUAAAUCCGGUUCACUUUAACACUGAGGCGUGACGACGAGGCACUACGGUGCUGAAGCAACAAAUGCCCUGCUUCCAGGAAAAGCCUCUAAGCAUCAGGUAACACGAAAUCGUACCCCAAACCGACACAGGUGGUCAGGUAGAGAAUACCAAGGCGCUUGAGAGAACUCGGGUGAAGGAACUAGGCAAAAUGGUGCCGUAACUUCGGGAGAAGGCACGCUGACACGUAGGUGAAGUGAUUUACUCAUGGAGCUGAAGUCAGUCGAAGAUACCAGCUGGCUGCAACUGUUUAUUAAAAACACAGCACUGUGCAAACACGAAAGUGGACGUAUACGGUGUGACGCCUGCCCGGUGCCGGAAGGUUAAUUGAUGGGGUCAGCGUAAGCGAAGCUCCUGAUCGAAGCCCCGGUAAACGGCGGCCGUAACUAUAACGGUCCUAAGGUAGCGAAAUUCCUUGUCGGGUAAGUUCCGACCUGCACGAAUGGCGUAAUGAUGGCCAGGCUGUCUCCACCCGAGACUCAGUGAAAUUGAACUCGCUGUGAAGAUGCAGUGUACCCGCGGCAAGACGGAAAGACCCCGUGAACCUUUACUAUAGCUUGACACUGAACAUUGAGCCUUGAUGUGUAGGAUAGGUGGGAGGCUUUGAAGUGUGGACGCCAGUCUGCAUGGAGCCGACCUUGAAAUACCACCCUUUAAUGUUUGAUGUUCUAACGUGGACCCGUAAUCCGGGUUGCGGACAGUGUCUGGUGGGUAGUUUGACUGGGGCGGUCUCCUCCUAAAGAGUAACGGAGGAGCACGAAGGUUGGCUAAUCCUGGUCGGACAUCAGGAGGUUAGUGCAAUGGCAUAAGCCAGCUUGACUGCGAGCGUGACGGCGCGAGCAGGUGCGAAAGCAGGUCAUAGUGAUCCGGUGGUUCUGAAUGGAAGGGCCAUCGCUCAACGGAUAAAAGGUACUCCGGGGAUAACAGGCUGAUACCGCCCAAGAGUUCAUAUCGACGGCGGUGUUUGGCACCUCGAUGUCGGCUCAUCACAUCCUGGGGCUGAAGUAGGUCCCAAGGGUAUGGCUGUUCGCCAUUUAAAGUGGUACGCGAGCUGGGUUUAGAACGUCGUGAGACAGUUCGGUCCCUAUCUGCCGUGGGCGCUGGAGAACUGAGGGGGGCUGCUCCUAGUACGAGAGGACCGGAGUGGACGCAUCACUGGUGUUCGGGUUGUCAUGCCAAUGGCACUGCCCGGUAGCUAAAUGCGGAAGAGAUAAGUGCUGAAAGCAUCUAAGCACGAAACUUGCCCCGAGAUGAGUUCUCCCUGAGACUUAGAGUCUCCUGAAGGAACGUUGAAGACGACGACGUUGAUAGGCCGGGUGUGUAAGCGCAGCGAUGCGUUGAGCUAACCGGUACUAAUGAACCGUGAGGCUUAACCUUACAACGCCGAAG